rnacentral:rRNA from 1 species
GAUGAACGCUGGCGGCGUGCCUAAUACAUGCAAGUCGAGCGAACGGACGAGAAGCUUGCUUUUCUGAUGUUAGCGGCGGACGGGUGAGUAACACGUGGAUAACCUACCUAUAAGACUGGGAUAACUUCGGGAAACCGGAGCUAAUACCGGAUAAUAUUUUGAACCGCAUGGUUCAAAAGUGAAAGACGGUCUUGCUGUCACUUAUAGAUGGAUCCGCGCUGCAUUAGCUAGUUGGUAAGGUAACGGCUUACCAAGGCAACGAUGCAUAGCCGACCUGAGAGGGUGAUCGGCCACACUGGAACUGAGACACGGUCCAGACUCCUACGGGAGGCAGCAGUAGGGAAUCGUCCGCAAUGGGCGAAAGCCUGACGGAGCAACGCCGCGUGAGUGAUGAAGGUCUUCGGAUCGUAAAACUCUGUUAUUAGGGAAGAACAUAUGUGUAAGUAACUGUGCACAUCUUGACGGUACCUAAUCAGAAAGCCACGGCUAACUACGUG